CAGAGGUCCCAAGCGUUGUUCGGAUUCACUGGGCGUAAAGGGUGCGCAGGUGGGUUUGCAAGUUCGAUGUGAAAGCCCCGGGCUUAACCCGGGAAUGGCAUUGGAUACUGCAGAUCUGGAGGAUCGGAGGGGGGACUGGAAUUCUUGGUGUAGCAGUGAAAUGCGUAGAUAUCAAGAGGAACACCAGUGGCGAAGGCGAGUCCCUGGACGAUACCUGACACUGAGGCACGAAAGCUAGGGGAGCAAACAGGAUUAGAUACCCUGGUAGUCCUAGCUGUAAACGGUGCGCAUUUGCUGUAAACGGAAUCGACCCCGUUUGUGGCGAAGCUAAACGCGAUAAAUGCGCCGCCUGGGAAGUACGGUCGCAAGAUUAA
rnacentral:rRNA from 1 species